GGCCAGACUCCUACGGGAGGCAGCAGUGGGGAAUAUUGCACAAUGGGGGAAACCCUGAUGCAGCGACGCCGCGUGAGUGAAGAAGUAUUUCGGUAUGUAAAGCUCUAUCAGCAGGAAAGAAAAUGACGGUACCUGACUAAGAAGCCCCGGCUAACUACGUGCCAGCAGCCGCGGUAAUACGUAGGGGGCAAGCGUUAUCCGGAUUUACUGGGUGUAAAGGGGGCGCAGACGGCAGCGCAAGCCAGGAGUGAAAGCCCGGGGCCCAACCCCGGGACUGCUCUUGGAACUGCGCGGCUGGAGUGCAGGAGGGGCAGGCGGAAUUCCUGGUGUAGCGGUGAAAUGCGUAGAUAUCAGGAGGAACACCGGUGGCGAAGGCGGCCUGCUGGACUGCGACUGACGUUGAGGCCCGAAAGCGUGGGGAGCAAACAGGAUUAGAUACCCCCGUAGCG
rnacentral:rRNA from 1 species